GUCUUAGUAGCAUAGUGGUUAAUGCGCAGCCCUGGUUAGGCGCGAGACGCGGGUUCCAAUCCCGCCAGAGAUG
rnacentral:tRNA from 1 species